rnacentral:rRNA from 1 species
GACAGAGGUGCCGAGCGUUAGGCGGAAUCACUGGGCUUAAAGCGUGUGUAGGCGGGCCGUUAAGUGUCUUGUGAAAUCCCCCGGCUCAACCGGGGAACUGCUGGGCAUACUGGCGGCCUUGGGCCACCCAGGGGCGAGCGGAACAGGCGGUGGAGCGGUGAAAUGCGUAGAUAUCGCCUGGAACGCCGACGGUGAAAACAGCUCGCUGGGGGUGCGCCGACGCUGAGACACGAAAGCCAGGGGAGCGAACGGG